UACGAAGGGAGCUAGCGUUGCUCGGAAUCACUGGGCGUAAAGCGCACGUAGGCGGAUUGCUAAGUCAGGGGUGAAAUCCUGGAGCUCAACUCCAGAACUGCCUUUGAUACUGGCGACCUUGAGUCCGGGAGAGGUGAGUGGAACUGCGAGUGUAGAGGUGAAAUUCGUAGACAUUCGCAAGAACACCAGUGGCGAAGGCGGCUCACUGGCCCGGUACUGACGCUGAGGUGCGAAAGCGUGGGGAGCAAACAGG
rnacentral:rRNA from 1 species